rnacentral:lncRNA from 1 species
UGGAAUCCUUCCACUAUCCCAUUUCACAUGGAUAGAACAUAUGUCAAAAUUCCAAGUACAAAACUCUGAAAAUGUCCUAUAAGUGGAAGAAGGAACGAACAAAACAAAAGGUAAAGUGUCCUCUCCCUCUCUCUCUCUCACACACACAUCUCUACAAUUGGACAGCUGAACUUGGAUUCUCCUGAGCCCCACUGCAAGCAUCUGGUGUGGGAAAGCACCGGCUGGCCUUCAAUCCAUACACUGAUGCCUAUUUCACAACUUGAACUGUGCCUGACCGCAUUGCCUCUGCAUGCAACUGCAUUCUCAAUCCAUGCUUCAUUUGCACCAAAAACCAUGCUUAUCAUCCCACCUAUUACAUAAGUUCUUCCAAUAUUUUGUGGAAGCACCUCACACGGAGUCAAAACAGGGCCUAGACUUCAGGAGGCUGGUGACCAGCUCACCAAGGAAACAUUGGAGACCACAUCAUUCCCUUGCCUAUGAAUGUGAUGUACAUCAAGGUGUACACGGCUUCCAUGAAAGAGGUGUCAUUCCUUCCACACCAUAUUAAGCAUUAUUCAUUGCUUGGAAGCAAGGGUUUCGAACUAUGGAUGUUGAAUCCACUUUAGAAAAAUGUUUUUUUUUUCCCAGCGCCAGAAUUGGGAAAGCAUAUGGCUCCAUCAACCCCAUCUCCAUUUCUGCUCCUGGCCAUGAUUCCAAAGGCUCGGGAUCAAUAACAAUAUCUCAAUUUCUUCUUAUCAUUUCUUGUUUAGCAGGGAUCACACUCACCACAUUUAUCUGAAUCCAAAAUUUCAGUUUAUGCCUCCACUGCAUUGCAGACCUGUAGAUCCUGCAAAAGGAAAAGGAAACUAACCAUUAUGCAUGCUGAAAAAGCAUAUGUACAAGGAUAACUCCGCCUAACAACAAGAAUGGACUGCAUCAUAAACAUUUUUCCUGAAAAGCUACCAGCUGGAGGUCACAUCAAAGCAAUUGGAAGGAAAAGGAGGUCUCAAUAAAGAAGUUUGUGGAAAAAUACCACUUUCAAAAGUAUUUACUCUGAUCUUUCUUAACAAGCCAGAUCAAAGAUACAUGAAAUCUCCACUAAGCAAUCGAUCUCUUCUUAGUCCCUUACAUCAGCAAUCAGGAAGAUAACCCCUAUGGGCCAAACUGACAUAACAUCGAGCUGAAGAAAGAUAUAAUGCAACCUAUAGAAACAAGAAAUAACACAUCCAGACAGAAAACAAUCUUGCAAUCAUAAUACUUCUCAGUCUUUCUCAUAACCAGUUGAUCACCAAUGUCAAGUUUAAUUUCUAAGGCAGACAUACUGGUAAUAGUUGCCUUGCACGUUGCAUGGAAGGCCAGGACAGUAGUGCUGGUACACCAAAUCUAGCAAAAUUGACAGCUAUAAAUGAAAGCUCAGAACGGCUAAAAGGUAGUGAUUCUGAUGCCAAAUAACCUAGUUCUCAUACAUAAGG